GAUAGCAAAGAUGAUGAGAGGGUUCCUGCUUUGAAUUUAUUAAUCUGCUUGGUUAGCAGGUAUAGUUAAUCCUUGGCUUCUUUAUUAUUUAUCAGUGAGUCUCACUCUGUUGCUAUAGUUAGGGUGCAGUGGCGCAAUCACAGCUCACUAGAGCUUUAACUUCCUGGGCUCCAGCAAUCCUCCCACCUCAGCCUCCUGAGUAGCUAGGACCACAACCAAGCACCACCACACCUGGCUAAUUAAAAAAAAUUGUUCGUAGAGACAGGGUCUCACUAUGUUGCCCAGGCUGGUCUCAAAACUCCUGGGCUCAAGCGAUCCUCCCACCUAAGCCUCCGAAAGUGCAGGGAUUACAGGUGUAAAGCCACUGCAUUCAGCCUGCAUUUUUGUUUAAUUGCCUGUGUCCUGCGUUCAUUUUCAGUUGUGGCAUAUUUUUAUUUAGUAUCUGUUUUAUUUCAUUUCUUACAUAGAAAUUCUUCUUGGAAUUUAUUUGAAAACUUUUUUUGUUGUUUUGUUUUGAGACAGAGUCUCGCUCUGUUGCCCAGGCUGGAGUGCAAUGGCACCAUCUCGGCUCACUACAACCUUCACCUCCUGGGUUCAAGCAAUUCUCCCCCCUCAGCCUCCCAAGUAGCUGGGCUUACAGGCACCUGCC
rnacentral:lncRNA from 1 species